rnacentral:rRNA from 1 species
GAUGAACGCUGGCGGCGUGCCUAAUACAUGCAAGUCGAGCGAACAGACGAGGAGCUUGCUCCUCUGACGUUAGCGGCGGACGGGUGAGUAACACGUGGAUAACCUACCUAUAAGACUGGGAUAACUUCGGGAAACCGGAGCUAAUACCGGAUAAUAUAUUGAACCGCAUGGUUCAAUAGUGAAAGACGGUUUUGCUGUCACUUAUAGAUGGAUCCGCGCCGCAUUAGCUAGUUGGUAAGGUAACGGCUUACCAAGGCAACGAUGCGUAGCCGACCUGAGAGGGUGAUCGGCCGCACUGGAACUGAGACACGGUCCAGACGACUACGGGAGGCAGCAGUAGGGAAUCUUCCGGAAUGGGCGAAAGCUGGACGGAGCAACGCCGCGUGAGUGAUGAAGGUCUUCGGAUCGUAAAACUCUGUUAUUAGGGAAGAACAAAGGUGUAAGUAACUAUGCACGUCUUGACGGUACCUAAUCAGAAAGCCACGGCUAACUACGUG